GUAGCUCAGAUGGUAGAGCGCUCGCUUAGCAUGCGAGAGGUACGGGGAUCGAUACCCCGCAUCUCCAAUUUAUUUUUAGCAUUAGAUCUUUUUGCCAGUGGUCGCUACUCCCUCCCUUCUCCAUGAAUCUCCUUCUUCUUCCCCCAUAUCUUCUCGUUUUCCAGGCCACUAAUGUCGCUACUCCCUCCCUUCUCCAUGAAUCUCCUUCUUCUUCCCCCAUAUCUUCUCGUUUUCCAGGCCACUAAUGUUUGUCUGCGUGGAAGGCAUUCUCAUCUUCGGGCCUCAGAAGUGUCCUCAAGGUUGUUGUUCGAGCAAGCUUAAAGUAAUGGGGAUGCAGCUCAGAUGGUAAAGCGCUCGCUUAGCAUGAGAGAGGCACGGGGUCGAUAAAUGUUUUGUUGGCAUUAGAUCUUUUUGCCAGCGGUCGCUACUCCCUCCCCCCUCCGUGAAUCUCCUUCUUCUUCCCCAUAUCUUCCCGUUUUCCAGGCCACUGAUACGAGAAUCGAUACCCUGCAUCUCCAGAUAUUUUCCUAAAAUCGUUUUACCGGGGGACAUUCCUCCUUCCUCCUCCGUGGAUCUCCUUCCUGUCUAGCCUUCUCCCAUAUCUUCCCGUUCCUAGGCCACCGAUGUGUUUGGUUGCGUGGAAGCAUUCUCAUCUUCCACAGGGGCCUCGAGUAAGAGAUUUGUAGCAGCACGAUGAUGGGCGGGCAUCACCAAAUCGCCUCAGAAGUGUCCUCAAGGUUGUUGUUCAACCAAGCUUGAAGUAAUGGGGAUGUAGCUCAGAUGGUAAAGUGAUGUUCAACCAAGCUUGAAGCAAUGGGGAUGUAGCUCAGAUGGUAGAGCGCUCGUGCGAGAGGUACGGGGAUCGAUAAUCCGCAUCUCCAGUUUUUGGCGUAAAUCUUUUUGUCGGCGGCCGUUCCUCCUCCCUCUCUUCCGUGGAUCUCCUUCCUUUUCCGUCCUGUCUAGCCUUCCUCCAUAUCUUUUCGUUUCCAGGCCACCGAUGUUUGGUUGCGUGGAAGGCAUUCUCAUCCUCCACUGGGGCCUCGAGUUGGAGAUUUCGAAGCAGUGCGAUGAUGGGCGGACAUCACCAAAUCGCCUCGGAACUGUCCUCAAGGUCGCUGUUCAAUCAAGCUUGAAGCAAGAUCGGUACUAGCUUCUCGUUCUCCCAAAUUAGGAUGGUCCUCAAGGCUGAUAUUCACAAUCCAGCUUGAAGCAUAAUCGGUUGAGAUCCAUGGACUGGUGAAGAUAUUCAUCGAUAGCUAUAAUGCACAGACAAUUGCUACGAUGUACUUCUCGUCAAGGCAGUUACUGCAUUAUCUUGUUCCUCUUGUCAAACAUAUAAUUUCUGUGAUUUAUGCAUUCGUUGGCUCUAUGGGGGGAAGAAAGCCAACAGAUGCAUAUCGCCCUCAUCAAUGAUAACUAUCUGCAUAACAAGUGUUGAAUGGAAGAAGUAUGGAAAAGGACAUAGGAGAACAAAGAGAAAAAGUACGAGGAUGAAAUAAGUUAGAUUUCUCAAAUAUUUGAUUUAUUGGUCUGAUGUUUUUAUUCAUCUACUUACAUUAAUCAAAAAUGAUAAGACAGUUUAUACUGGUGUUAUCUCAAAUUGCUUCACUAUGAUUAAAACAGGCUACAUGGCGUUUUAGGAGAGCGGAAAGUUAACUG